AGUACCGCCACAGGAAUGACGGUGAACACACCUCUCUGUUUUAGAGGAAAGAAGAUCCUGGCUCCAAUGGUCCGAGUGGGAACAUUACCAAUGCGUCUUCUUGCUCUGGACUAUGGUGCUGAUAUUGUGUACUGUGAGGAGCUGAUUGAUAUAAAGAUGCUGCAGUGUAAGAGGGUUGUAAAUGAAGUACUUGAAACGGUGGACUUUGUUGCACCUAAUGAAAGAGUUGUUUUCAGAACUUGUGAAAGGGAGAGGCACUGUGUUGUCUUUCAAAUGGGUUCGGCAGAUGCUGAAAGAGCCCUGGCAGUAGCUAAGCUUGUGUAAAGUGAUGUAGCUGGUAUUGAUAUCAACAUGGGAUGCCCAAAAGAAUAUUCUACUAAGGGAGGUAUGGGCGCAGCACUGCUGUCUGAUCCUGACAAAAUAGAGUCUAUAUUGACUACCCUUGUUAAAGGAAUUUGUAAACCAGUAACCUGCAAAAUCCGCAUUUUGCCUUCAGUAAGAAUAUAAAUCAUUAUGCCAAAGUGUUUAGUUUUUUAUUUAUGUGAUUUAAAAUCAAUUAGAGUAUGUGGCAUUCUAAUAUAUUGGCGUUUUAGACCUGUCACUGUGAAAUAGCACUUGGAAUUAUAAUUUCUGUUGGAGAUGC